CAGCAGCCACGGGAAUACGGAGGGGGCAAGCGUUAAUCGGAAUUACUGGGCGUAAAGCGCACGCAGGCGGUCUGACAAGUCAGAUGUGAAAUCCCCGGGCUUAACCUGGGAACUGCAUUUGAAACUGUCAGGCUGGAGUCUUGUAGAGGGGGGUGGAAUUCCAGGUGUAGCGGUGAAAUGCGUAGAGAUCUGGAGGAAUACCGGUGGCGAAGGCGGCCCCCUGGACAAAGACUGACGCUCAGGUGCGAAAGCGUGGGGAGCAAACAGGAUUAGAUACCCGAGUAGUCCCUGUCUCUUAUAC
rnacentral:rRNA from 1 species